UAACCAUAUGUCCUAAUGCUCUCAGAUUUUUGCGCAUGUAGAUUUUGUUCACCUUAACAAAAAUCAACCUAAUAUGCUUGACCUGUAGGUAGUGCGUUGUAUCUUUAUCGAGUAUAUAUGCUACUGAUCAAAAGGGGAUACUAAUGUUAUCAUCCACCAACUAAACAGCACGAUACUAUCUGACACUUCCAAGCUCGAUUAGGAAAUUUGUUUAGUUGGAUCAUAAUCAUCAAGCUAUAGCCAAUAU
rnacentral:lncRNA from 1 species